rnacentral:lncRNA from 1 species
AUGAAUUAUGGGUCAUCCAGGUCUGUGGUUCUCAUCCCUGUGACUCCAAGCAAAAGCCAAGGAGCCUUGUCUCACUGGCUUGGGAUAUCAGAGGCGAUGCUUGGAAAGACAGCCCAACCAGGGACAGGUUCACCUCAGCACAGGGAAAAUGUGUCAGUUAAUGUCCCCAGGGCACAGGUCUUCUUGAUUGAACACAAUACUCUAACAGAACUUGAAGACUUUGAGCGGUUCCCCAGGAGUGUGAAUCAUCAAGCACACAGCUCCCCUUGUCACUCUGCCUUCCUAAUCACUACCCUUCAGGUUGACUGGCUCACCCAUUUGUCUGGGAAGACCCCAAUGUUUUCUUGUACCUCUGGCUUCCUGUGGUAGAGAUGUUGCUAGACCAAUUGUUGCCUCCACAGAUUUAGGAGGAUUCUGUCUCAUGACAUGGCACUCAAUCACCCUCUGUGUAAACUUUCUACAUACUCUUCAGAGCUUACCCCUGCCACGUGGUGUAGAGACAUCUUGCUUUGCCAGUGAACUUGCAGUGGUGGCCACACCCUAUGGGCAUGGCUUCAGGUGUUCAGACACGACCCCUUAUAGAGAAGAGGAGGGGCUGGCUUGCUCUCUUGGGUUUUGGAGGGAGAGCAUCGGAAGGGCAGAGUCUGCAUCUUCUGGAGCAGUUAUUUAUUUACUCUUAUCUGUGUAAGUGCUUCCUUAAUAAAU